CCAAACCUUUCUUUCAUGAGACGAUGUUUUGCCCACAUGCAGAUACGAACAUGGAGCCAGGCACAGGUUUAAAGAUGUUUAUUGAAAGAACAGCGACAAAGAAAUGGCGUGCUGCACGAGCGAGGUCUGAACGUCGGGGCUGGAGUCACUGCGAAGAGAGAGAGGUCUAUGGCUACAGUUCUUCAAGGUGGAUGGAGAGACAGUCUGGUCCAGCAGCUUUCCCGGGGUUCUGUCUUCUGAAGAGUUUAACAUCUCCUCCAGCGUUUCGCUGCGUGAGCAAAGCUGCAGAGUAAAGCAAAGAAAACUUUUCCUGCUGCUGUUACAACGAAGAAGAAGCACGCACAGCCAACUCGACAGAAUUUUUCGAGACCCAACAGUACGAGACGGAGACCAAGAUAAAAGGGUCUGGAGACUUCCAACACUGGUGAAAACCCUAAUAUAUACAGUACAUAUUUACAUAUGAAAAUACAUAUGUAUAUUUUUCUUUUUUACAUACUUAAAAAUGUUCCUUAAGAGCAAAUUGGAACCAAAGUCAAAUUCAUGUUUGUGUUACCAACUUGGUGAUUGAAGGGCCUUUCAUAGCGCUGUGCUGUGAAACCCAUUGUUUUCUUCGGCUUGCUCCGCUCAGGAGUGGUUUACACAAAGUGCACAAUGUUGAACAUAGCUGAACGUUGACCACGGCACGUAGUGACAUAUACACGCAUGGCCAAUAGAAACUAUUGGAAGGACCAGGAAGCACACCUGGGGACAUUUCCCUGAACUGUAUGGUCCAAGUUUGAGAUUGUAUGGCUGUGGAAACGGAGCUUUUUAACAAGCAUGAAUUCCCAAACUGAUGCCUGGACCUGAGCUUUGUGCACCACAGCCUCUUCUUUGCUGCUCCUUUCCUCCUACCUAGCAGGGCUAGUGCUAGUGCUUGCUAAUUAUUACUGGUUAUGGCUUAACCAUGUACCUUACCUGUUUAACUGGCGACUGGUUACUUGGUUAAACUGGUGCUUAAACUACAAGUUCUGACUUAUCUGU